GCCGGAUUCCUGCACACAAUGACGCAGUCACUGCACAUUACGCCGAGACUCGCUGAAAGUCCGCAUUUGCAGUGCGGGGAAAAGAAGCCAUUGUAACUGCCUGUACUAUGCCUUACUAAGACCCACUAUGAGCCAGUAUGAAGAAGCUUCCAGUACAACCAACCGGACCUUGCAUCAGCAUUGAAGAGUUCAGGAGUCGGCAUAGAAGAAAGAGGCUGAUUGAAGCGGGACAGAUGACAUGGAUCCAUCCUUCCGCGCCCACUUUGUCUAGCCCAAUCAAUCAGACGACUGAAAGGGGCGAAUCCUAAUAAAAGUCCACAUUUCAGCAAUAUAAUUGGCUCCUGUAGGUGUCAGUCAUCACAGUAUACAAAGCUGCGUCAAACCAACCAAAGAGAUCAUGAAAACCACCGGUAGCUCCACUGUUCUACUUUCACAGGAAAACAUUUAUAGCAAUGAGCUAGACUGGCCAGAACCACACUUAAAAUAGAGCAAAUUAAUAAAAAAUUUUGGCAGAUUAUAUAAAAAAUAUAGAUGUUGCUGUAUGUAGGGUGAAUAUUUUUUUUAAGUUAAUAGGUAUGAUGAAAUAAUACUUUACCUACAAAUUGUAUUAUUUUACACAUUUCUAUCCUAUUAGUAUUAGUUUACUCUCUUAACUUGUUUUUUUAUACAAAUGUCUCCUUCUUAUGUCUUUCACCACUUUUAAUUUCUUUAUUAUUAUUCUUAAUCUCUUCUAUUUUGCUUAAACAAUGUCUUAAACUGCUUGUUCUGAUUUAAACUUGAUUUCUUUCAAUUUCUUCUCUGUGUUGUUUU